rnacentral:rRNA from 1 species
UACGUAGGGGGCAAGCGUUGUCCGGAUUUAUUGGGCGUAAAGAGCGUGUAGGCGGUCAGAUAGGUCCGUUGUGAAAACUCGAGGCUCAACCUCGAGACGCCGAUGGAAACCAUCUGACUAGAGUCCGGAAGAGGAGAGUGGAAUUCCUGGUGCAGCGGUGAAAUGCGCAGAUAUCAGGAAGAACACCCGUGGCUAAGGCGGCUCUCUAGUACGGUACUGACGCUGAGACGCGAAAGCGUGGGGAGCGAACAGG